rnacentral:rRNA from 1 species
UGUGAUGACGAGGCACUACGGUGCUGAAGUAACAAAUGCCCUGCUUCCAGGAAAAGCCUCUAAGCAUCAGGUAACAUCAAAUCGUACCCCAAACCGACACAGGUGGUCAGGUAGAGAAUACCAAGGCGCUUGAGAGAACUCGGGUGAAGGAACUAGGCAAAAUGGUGCCGUAACUUCGGGAGAAGGCACGCUGGUGUGUAGGUGAAGUCCCUGCGGAUGGAGCUGAGACCAGUCGAAGAUACCAGCUGGCUGCAACUGUUUAUUAAAAACACAGCACUGUGCAAACACGAAAGUGGACGUAUACGGUGUGACGCCUGCCCGGUGCCGGAAGGUUAAUUGAUGGGGUUAUCCGUAAGGAGAAGCUCUUGAUCGAAGCCCCGGUAAACGGCGGCCGUAACUAUAACGGUCCUAAGGUAGCGAAAUUCCUUGUCGGGUAAGUUCCGACCUGCACGAAUGGCGUAAUGAUGGCCAGGCUGUCUCCACCCGAGACUCAGUGAAAUUGAACUCGCUGUGAAGAUGCAGUGUACCCGCGGCAAGACGGAAAGACCCCGUGAACCUUUACUAUAGCUUGACACUGAACAUUGAGCCUUGAUGUGUAGGAUAGGUGGGAGGCUUUGAAGCGUGGACGCCAGUCUGCGUGGAGCCAACCUUGAAAUACCACCCUUUAAUGUUUGAUGUUCUAACGUUGGCCCCUUACCGGGGUUGCGGACAGUGUCUGGUGGGUAGUUUGACUGGGGCGGUCUCCUCCCAAAGCGUAACGGAGGAGCACGAAGGUUAGCUAAUCCUGGUCGGACAUCAGGAGGUUAGUGCAAUGGCAUAAGCUAGCUUGACUGCGAGCGUGACGGCGCGAGCAGGUGCGAAAGCAGGUCAUAGUGAUCCGGUGGUUCUGAAUGGAAGGGCCAUCGCUCAACGGAUAAAAGGUACUCCGGGGAUAACAGGCUGAUACCGCCCAAGAGUUCAUAUCGACGGCGGUGUUUGGCACCUCGAUGUCGGCUCAUCACAUCCUGGGGCUGAAGUAGGUCCCAAGGGUAUGGCUGUUCGCCAUUUAAAGUGGUACGCGAGCUGGGUUUAGAACGUCGUGAGACAGUUCGGUCCCUAUCUGCCGUGGGCGCUGGAGAAUUGAGGGGGGCUGCUCCUAGUACGAGAGGACCGGAGUGGACGCAUCACUGGUGUUCGGGUUGUCAUGCCAAUGGCACUGCCCGGUAGCUAAAUGCGGAAGAGAUAAGUGCUGAAAGCAUCUAAGCACGAAACUUGCCCCGAGAUGAGUUCUCCCUGAGACUUUAAGUCUCCUGAAGGAACGUUGAAGACGACGACGUUGAUAGGCCGGGUGUGUAAGCGCAGCGAUGCGUUGAGCUAACCGGUACUAAUGAACCGUGAGGCUUAACCUU